UACAGAGGGGGCCAGCGUUAUUCGGAAUUAUUGGGCGUAAAGGGCGCGUAGGCGGCCAUGCGUGUCUCCCGUGAAAUCCCUCGGCUCAACCGAGGACGUGCGGAAGAAACUGCAAGGCGCGAGUCCGGAAGAGGGGGGCGGAAUUCCCAGUGUAGCGGUGAAAUGCGUAGAUAUUGGGAGGAACACCAGUGGCGAAGGCGGUCCCCUGGGCCGGAACUGACGCUGAGGCGCGAAAGCGUGGGUAGCAAACGGG
rnacentral:rRNA from 1 species